CGAAAGCCUGACGGAGCAAGACCGCGUGGGGGAUGAAGGUUUGUGGAUUGUAAACCCCUUUUGAUUGGGAAGAAUAACUGACGGUACCAAUCGAAUAAGCCUCGGCUAACUCCGUGCCAGCAGCCGCGGUAAUACGGAGGAGGCAAGCGUUAUCCGGAAUUAUUGGGCGUAAAGCGUCCGUAGGUGGUUUAGUAAGUCUGCUGUUAAAGCGCGGGGCUUAACCCUGUAUCGGCAGUGGGAACUACUAGACUAGAGUGUGGUAGGGGUAGAGGGAAUUCCCAGUGUAGCGGUGAAAUGCGUAGAUAUUGGGAAGAACACCGGUGGCGAAGGCGCUCUACUGGGCCAUAACUGACACUGAUGGACGAAAGCUAGGGGAGCG
rnacentral:rRNA from 1 species